CAAAACUUUUAACAACGGAUCUCUUGGUUCUGGCAUCGAUGAAGAACGCAGCGAAAUGAUCAAGUAAUAGUGGAAUUUGCAGAAUUCAGUGAAUCAUCGAAUCUUUGAACGCACAUUGCGCCCGCCAGCAUUCUGGCGGGCAUGCCUG
rnacentral:rRNA from 1 species